rnacentral:rRNA from 1 species
AUUGAACGCUGGCGGCAUGCCUUACACAUGCAAGUCGAACGGCAGCAUGAUCUAGCUUGCUAGAUUGAUGGCGAGUGGCGAACGGGUGAGUAAUACAUCGGAACGUGCCCUGUAGUGGGGGAUAACUAGUCGAAAGAUUAGCUAAUACCGCAUACGACCUGAGGGUGAAAGUGGGGACCGCAAGGCCUCAUGCUAUAGGAGCGGCCGAUGUCUGAUUAGCUAGUUGGUGAGGUAAAGGCUCACCAAGGCGACGAUCAGUAGCUGGUCUGAGAGGAUGAACGGCCACAUUGGGACUGAGAUACGGCCCAG